UACGUAGGUGGCAAGCGUUGUCCGGAUUUACUGGGCGUAAAGAGCGCGCAGGCGGUUGAUUAAGUCGAAUGUGAAAGCCCCCGGCUCAACUGGGGAGGGUCAUUCGAUACUGAUCGACUUGAAGGCAGGAGAGAGAAGUGGAAUUCCCGGUGUAGUGGUGAAAUGCGUAGAUAUCAGGAGGAACACCGGUGGCGAAGGCGGCGCUCUGGGCCGGUACUGACACUGAUGAGCGAAAGCGUGGGGAGCAAACAGG
rnacentral:rRNA from 1 species